AUUGAACGCUGGCGGCAUGCCUUACACAUGCAAGUCGAACGGCAGCACGGGAGCAAUCCUGGUGGCGAGUGCGAACGGGUGAGUAAAGUAUCGGAACGUGCCCAGUCGUGGGGGAUAACGUAGCGAAAGUUACGCUAAUACCGCAUACGAUCUAUGGAUGAAAGCGGGGGAUCGCAAGACCUCGCGCGAUUGGAGCGGCCGAUAUCAGAUUAGGUAGUUGGUGGGGUAAAGGCUCACCAAGCCGACGAUCUGUAGCUGGUCUGAGAGGACGACCAGCCCCACGGGGACUGAGACCCGGCCCAGACUCCUACGGGAGGCAGCAGUGGGGAAUUUUGGACAAUGGGCGAAAGCCUGAUCCAGCCAUGCCGCGUGCAGGAUGAAGGCCUUCGGGUUGUAAACUGCUUUUGUACGGAACGAAAAGGUUUGGCCUAAUAAGCUGAGCUCAUGACGGUACCGUAAGAAUAAGCACCGGCUAACUACGUGCCAGCAGCCGCCGUAA
rnacentral:rRNA from 1 species